UAGGGAAUCUUCGGCAAUGGGGGGAACCCUGACCGAGCAACGCCGCGUGAGUGAAGAAGGUUUUCGGAUCGUAAAGCUCUGUUGUUAAGGAAGAACGAGUGUGAGAAUGGAAAGUUCAUACUGUGACGGUACUUAACCAGAAAGGGACGGCUAACUACGUGCCAGCAGCCGCGGUAAUACGUAGGUCCCGAGCGUUGUCCGGAUUUAUUGGGCGUAAAGCGAGCGCAGGCGGUUAGAUAAGUCUGAAGUUAAAGGCAGUGGCUCAACCAAUGUAGGCUUUGGAAACUGUUUAACUUGAGUGCAGAAGGGGAGAGUGGAAUUCCAUGUGUAGCGGUGAAAUGCGUAGAUAUAUGGAGGGACACCGGUGGCGAAAGCGGCUCUCUGGUCUGUAACUGACGCUGAGGCUCGAAAGCGUGGGGAGCGAACAGG
rnacentral:rRNA from 1 species